ensembl:lncRNA
GUUGUCUUCAUUUUCAGGCUUCAAGUUGGGGUAAGAUGGCUGUCAGCAGCUCCAGGCAAUACCUCCCAAGGUCAAAUUCAGCAAGCCGGGCUGAAGUCCUAGGUGGUACAGGCAUAUAGUUCCAGAUACUUGAGAGAGUUAUGUGGGAGAAUCACUUGAACCUAGGAGUUUGUCAAACCUGGGCAACAAAGUGAGACCCCAUCUCUAAAAACAAAAUAAAACAAAAAAUCCAAUCAGCAACUAGUUUGGGGCAGGCUUUCUAUUACUUGCAACCCAAAGCAUUCUAACUGAUUCACUCAGUAUACUAGUGAGCUGCUUCCAAGUCUAGGCAGCCCGUGAAAAUAGCUGUAUAAAGAGAUGCCUGCCCCAGGUGUGACCGAUAGAAGGUGGAGGGCUACCCCCCACAGAGUUCCUGGGAGGAGCCAGAGGUGUGGAGAGGCAGACUUUCCUUUUGAGAUCCAGUGCUCCUGAGCAUUUGAGAAGAUGCUCAACAUACAGCACUCUUUUAAGGUCCUGUGGCAAGAGGGUUAGACUUCCUCAGGUGGGCAGCUGUGUGCCUGCAUCCCCAGGUGCCCUGUGGAUGAAGUGUCUGGGCUCUGAUGGGGAAAGUGGGAAAGGGAAGAGCUUAGAUGCAGCUGGUGAAAUGCCUCGUUUCUAAGCUUCCUGGUUUCUGUGGCCACCUAUGUGAUGGCAAGUAGUCAGGUGUGUGCACGUGGGUCUGAGAGCCCAGGCAGGGACAGGCUCCUUUUUGUCAAGAGUCAGCUUCUGCUCCUGCUGCCUCCUGCAGGGCCAGCUUGAAUCUCAGUAUAGUGGGUGCUGGAAUGUACCACCCAGAGUCCCUCUGGGGUAGGGUGACAGCUGCUGAUGGCUCAUACAUAGUUUAAGGUAUCAGCUGCACACAAGACCACGCUCCCCCCUGGGGUAGCCUGCACCUUAGGACUCGUGCUGGGGUGUAGAUACAGACAGCCAGUAUUUACACAGAGAGCCAGAGUUGGGCUCAAUCCAGGCCAACUCUGAAGGGCAUCCCAGCUACGAGCUCCCCUCAGGGUUGGCUGAGACCUCUCUUGCUACCGCACUACAAUUAACCUUCAUCCUCUGUCCAGGCCUUCCCAUGUUCCCCAGUAUAUCCCCUGCAUGCAAAUCUCUGUCCCAGAGUCCACCUCCUCAAGAGCCCAAGCCAUGGCACCAGGUGAGGCAGGUGGUGUGUGUGAAGCCUGAUAUGAGAGACUGGAUCCCAAUCACUUCUUUUCCUGCACUGAUGGGAAUAGUACUAAAGAAGCAGAUGAGAAGCAUAGACCCUCUUGUUUAUGUUUUUUGGGAUUUGUUUUGUUUUGUUUUUUUGUUUUUGAGACGGAGUCUCACUCUGUUGCCCAGGCUGGAGUGCAAUGGCAUGACCUGGGCUCACUGCAACCUCAGCCUCCCUGGUUCAAGCAAUUCUCCUGCCUCAGCCUCCUGAGUAGCUGGGACUACAGGUGCCUGCCACCACACCCAGCUAAUUUUUGUAUUUUUAAUAGAGAUGGGGUUUCACCAUGCUGGCCAGGCUGGUCUCAAACUCCCGACCUCAGACGAUCCGCCUGCCUUGUCCUCCCAAAGUGCUGGGAUUACAGGUGUGAGCCCCCACGCUGGGCUUGUUUAUGUUUUUAUUAAAAUUAAAAGAACUUUCUAUUAUUAGAGAAACAAUGUAUGCUCACUGAAAAAAAAAAAAA